rnacentral:rRNA from 1 species
AGAGUUUGAUCCUGGCUCAGAGCGAACGCUGGCGGCGUGCUUAACACAUGCAAGUCGAACGCGCAGCAGUUUGUAGCAAUACAGAUUGUGGGCGCGUGGCGAACGGGUGCGUAACACGUGGAUAACCUUCCUUCAGGUGGGGAAUAACCCAGUGAAAAUUGGGCUAAUACCGCAUAACAUGACGAUGGCUCAUGCCGUUGUCUUCAAAGGCGCAAGUCGCCAGAAGAGGGAUCCGCGGCCGAUUAGCUAGUUGGCGAGGUAAUGGCUCACCAAGGCUUUGAUCGGUAGCCGGACUGAGAGGUUGGCCGGCCACACUGGAACUGAGACACGGUCCAGACUCCUACGGGAGGCAGCAGUGGGGAAUCUUGCACAAUGGACGAAAGUCUGAUGCAGCAACGCCGCGUGGGGGAUGAAGCUUUUCGGAGUG